UACGUAGGGGGCAAGCGUUAAUCGGAAUUACUGGGCGUAAAGCGUGCGCAGGCGGUUAUAUAAGACAGGAGUGAAAUGCCCGGGCUCAACCUGGGAAUUGCAUUGGUGACUGUAUAGCUAGAGUACGGGAGAGGGGGAUGGAAUUCCGCGUGUAGCAGUGAAAUGCGUAGAUAUGCGGAGGAACACCGAUGGCGAAGGCAAUCCCCUGGACCUGUACUGACGCUCAUGCACGAAAGCGUGGGGAGCAAAUAGG
rnacentral:rRNA from 1 species